AUACGAUAAAGGCAAACUUAUCGAAAGGUAAGGACGCAAAGCCUUGGGUCUAACGUUCUAGAAAUGGAACUAUGAUUGCCAGGUUGCCGAA
rnacentral:ncRNA from 1 species